GGGUAGCUCAGUGGAUAGAGCAGCAGUUUCCUAAACUGUUGGUCGGAGGUUCGAUUCCUCUUCC
rnacentral:tRNA from 1 species